CGCGUGCGUGCGUCUUCUUCGUUGGAGGCGGCGUCUAUCGAGCUCACGUCCUGGCGAUCACGCCGGUGGCCAGGGGCAUGACAGGCGCACACGCACUCCAACGGCGCCGUCUACGCCAACGGCACCACCGAGAUCCCCUCCCCUUCUGCUGCCAGGCAGCCUUUCAUCAUCGGGGUUUCUGGAGAGACGGCGUUGGGGAAGACGACGGUGUGCGACAUGAUUAUCCAACAGCUGCACGACCACCGCGUCGUGCUCGUUAGCCAGGAUUCAUUCUACUGUGGUCUAACCGCUGAAGAGUCUGCACAUGCACAAGACUACAAUUUUGAUCACCCUAGUACUGCAUUUUCUGUUUCGUGUUCCCUGCUUGUGGUAGCUAUCUGAGCUGAAUUGAAUUGUUGACACGUGAAAUGGACGGUAUUCUUUGCUUGCAGAUGCAUUUGAUACAGAACAACUUAUGGAAUGCAUGAGAAAUUUGCUGUUUUGCCACUCUCAAAUUUGGCUGUCUGUUAUUAUGCCAUCCCGUGUCUAUGACUGGUGGGACCGUCUGUGUCUAUGAUUUGUGGGUCCGAUGACAUACUGGCGAAGGCCACAAAUGAUAAUGGCAAAAUUGCCAAUGGCUCGGAAUGCAUGGUGCAGCUGAAACGUGCUCAACCUGCAAAUGUUCCUAUAUAUGAUUUCAAGAAGCAUCGACGGUGUUCUGAAACCUUUAGGAAGGUAGCAGUCACUCAGAAGCUUACCAGCAUGAAAAUUUUGCCAAUCCUUCUCUUUUACGUCUGUUU